ACCUGGUUGAUCCUACCAACAGUCAUAUGUUUGUCUCAAAGACUAAGCCAUUACAUGUGAAACUGCAAAUGGCUCAUUAAAUCAGUUAUAGUUUGUUUGAUGUAUCUACUACUCAGAUAAUCGUAGUAAUUCUAGAGCUAAUACAUGCAACAAACCCCGACUUCUGAAAGGGAUGCAUUUAUUAGAUAAAAGGUCAACACGAGCUAUGCCUAUUGCUCUAAUGAUUCAUGAUAACUAGAUGGAUCGCAGGGGCCUUUGUGCCGGCUAUGCAUCAUUCAAAAUUCUACCCUAUCAACUUUCGAUGGUAGGAUAGUGGCCUACUAUGGUGGUGAUGGGUGAUGGAGAAUUAGGGUUCGAUUCUGGAGAUGGAGCCUAAGAAAUGGCUACCACAUCCAAAGAAGGCAGCAAAUGCGCAAAUUACCCAAUCCUGACACAAGAAGGUAGUGACAAUAAAUAACAAUAUCGGGCUCAAUAAAUCUCUUAAUGCGGAUCGAUUGGAGGGCAAGUCUGGUGCCAGCAGCUACAGUAAUUCCAGCUCCAAUAGUGUAUAUUUAAGUUGUUGCAGUUAAAAAGCUAGUUAGUUGAAACUAGGGUUGGGUCAUCCGGUCUACCUCACGAUGAGCACCAGUCUACUCAUCCCUAUUACCGAUGAUGCAUUCUUGGACUUAAUUACCUGGGACAUUCUUCUGGCACUGUUACUUUGAAGAAAUUAGAGUGCUCAAAGCAGGCCUACGCUUGUAUACAUUAGCAUGGGAUAACAUCAUAGGAUUUCGAUCCUAUUGUGUUGGCCUUCAGGAUCAGAGUAAUGAUUAACAGGGAUAGUAGGGGGCAUUCAUAUUUCAUAGUCAAAGGUGAAAUUCUUGGAUUUAUGAAAGAAGAACAACUGCAAAAUCAUUUGCCAAGGAUGUUUUCAUUAAUCAAGAUGAAAGUUUAGGGCUCGAAGAUGAUUAGAUACCGUCUUAGUCUCAACCAUAAAUUGAUGCCGACCAAGGAUCGAUGGAUGUUACUUUUAGGACUCUGUCGGCACCUUAUAAGAAAUCAAAGUCUUUGGGUUCCAGGGGGAGUAUGGCCUCAAGGCUGAAACUUAAAGGAAUUGACAGAAGGGCAUCGCCAGGAGUGGAGCUUGUGGCCUAAUUUGCUUAACAUGGGGAAACUUACCAGGUCCAGACAUAGUAAGGAUUGACAGACUGAGAGCUCUUUCUUGAUUCUAUGGGUGGUGGUGCAUGGCCGUUCUUAGUUGGUAGAACAAUUUGUCUGGUUAAUUCCAUUAACGAAUGAGACCUCAGCAUGCUAACUAGAUAUACGGAGGUGAUCCUUCGUGGCUAGCUUUUUAGAGGGACUAUGGUCGCUUAGGCCAAGGAAGUUUGAGACAAUAAUAGGUCUGUGAUGCCCUUAGAUGUUUUGGGCUGCACGUGCGCUACAUUGAUGUAUUCAAUGAGUCUAUAGCCUUGGCUGACAGGCCCGGGUAAUCUUUGAAAUUUCAUCAUAAUGGGGAUAGAUCAUUACAAUUAUUAGUCUUCAACGAAGAAUUCCUAGUAAACGCGAGUCAUCAGCUCGCGUUGACUAUGUCCCUGCCCUUUGUACACACCACCCGUCACUCUUACCAAUUGAAUGGUCUGGUGAAGUGUUCAAAUUUCGGUGAGCUAGACGGUUCACCACCCACGACGUCACGAGAAGUCCACUGAACCUUAACAUUUAGAAGAAGGAGAAGUCAUAACAAGGUUUUUCUAGGUGAACCUGUGGAAG
rnacentral:rRNA from 1 species